AUUGAACGCUGGCGGCAGGCCUAACACAUGCCAGUCGAACGAGUGGGGACGGGUGAGUAACACGUGGGUAACCUCCCAUCAGAGGGGAUAACACUUGGAAACAGGUGCUAAACCGAUACUGAUGGAUGGAACCGCGGUGCAUUAGCUAGUUGGUGAGGUAACGGACCAACAAGGCCACGAUGCAUAGACUACCUGAGAGGGUGAUGCGCCACACUGGGACGGAGACAAGGCCCAGACUCCUACGGGAGGCAGCAGUAGGGAAUUUGCGGCAAUGGACGAAAGUCUGACCGAGCAACGCCGCGUGAGUGAAGAAGGUUUUCGGAUCGUAAAACUCUGUUGGUAGAGAAGCGGUAUCUAACCAGAAAGCCACGGCUAACUACCUGCCAGCAGCCGCGGUAAUAC
rnacentral:rRNA from 1 species